rnacentral:rRNA from 1 species
AUACGUAGGGGGCGAGCGUUAUCCGGAAUUAUUGGGCGUAAAGAGUACGUAGGUGGUUGCGUAAGCGCAAGGUGAAAGACCGGGGCUUAACUUCGGUGAGCCUUGUGAACUGCGUGACUUGAGUGCAGGAGGGGAAAGUGGAAUUCCUAGUGUAGCGGUGAAAUGCGUAGAUAUUAGGAGGAACACCAGUGGCGAAGGCGACUUUCUGGACUGUAACUGACACUGAGGUACGAAAGCGUGGGGAGCAAACAGGAUUAGAUACCCUGGUAGUCCACGCCGUAAACGAUGAGCACUAGGUGUUGGCGUAGAAAUACGUCGGUGCCGAAGUUAACGCAUUAAGUGCUCCGCCUGGGGAGUACGCACGCAAGUGUGAAACUCAAAUGAAUUGACGGGG